rnacentral:rRNA from 1 species
UACGUAGGGAGCGAGCGUUGUCCGGAAUUACUGGGUGUAAAGGGUGCGUAGGCGGCCUUGCAAGUCAGGCGUGAAAACCACGGGCUCAACCCGUGGACUGCGUUUGAAACUGUGAGGCUUGAGUGAAGUAGAGGUAGGCGGAAUUCCCGGUGUAGCGGUGAAAUGCGUAGAGAUCGGGAGGAACACCAGUGGCGAAGGCGGCCUACUGGGCUUUAACUGACGCUGAGGCACGAAAGCAUGGGUAGCAAACAGG